GGCUUAUUGACAUAAGAUUUUAAGUCUAACCUGCCCCCUGGUUUAUUUAAAUGGCCGCAGUAUUUUGACUGUGCUAAGGUAGCAUAAUAAUUAGUUUUUUAAUUGAAAGCUAGAAUGAAUGGUAUUAUGAAAAAAUUACUGUCUCUUUUAAAAAAUUAAAAUUUUAUUUUUAAGUUAAAAAGCUUAAAUAUUAUUAAAAGACGAGAAGACCCUAUAGAAUUUUAUUUAAAUUAAUUGUUAAUAGAUUAGUAUAUAAAAUUUAAUAAUAAGUUUAUAUUUAAUUGGGGUGAUUAGAAAAAUUAAGUAUCUUUUUUUUAUAUAAACAUUAAUUUAUGAUUUUAUGAUUCACAUUAGUGAUUUAAGAAUAAAUUACCUUAGGGAUAACAGCGUAAUUUUUUUUUAGAGCUCUAAUCAAGAAAAAAGAUUGCGACCUCGAUGUUGGAUUAAAAUUUAUUUUUGGUGUAGUAGCUAAAAUAUUAAGUCUGUUCGACUUUUAGAAUUUUACA
rnacentral:rRNA from 1 species